UAAACUAAAAUUUGUAUGGAGUUGGUAAGUUUGCCUACGUUUGCCGCUAGUGGCGCUGUUACAACUGCAUACAAAUGUAACUUU
rnacentral:pre_miRNA from 1 species